CUACGGAGGAUCCGAGCGUUAUCCGGAUUUAUUGGGUUUAAAGGGUGCGCAGGCGGCCAUUUAAGUCAGCGGUUAAAUCGUGGGGCUCAACCCCAUUCUGCCGUUGAUACUGGGUGGCUUGAUUGCGGUCGAGGUUGGCGGAAUUCGUUGUGUAGCGGUGAAAUGCAUAGAUAUGACGAAGAACACCGAUUGCGUAGGCAGCUGACCAGACCGCAAAUGACGCUCAUGCACGAAAGUGCGGGGAUCGAACAGGAUUAGAUACCCUGGUAGUCCGCACAGUAAACGAUGAAUACUUGUUUUCGGCGAUAUAAUGUCGGAGGCAAAGCGAAGGCGAUAAGUAUUCCACCUGGGGAGUACGCCGGCAACGGUGAAACUCAAAGGAAUUGACGGGG
rnacentral:rRNA from 1 species